rnacentral:lncRNA from 1 species
UCGUUAACACAGACACGGAAUUUUUUCUUGGGGAUUUCAGCUCACUCACUUCCUACGACGGGUACUGUUCUCCCUUCUUCAGCACUUAGAAUGUUCCCUAUCCUUAAUAUUCAGUUUGAGGACCUACCCAGGACUCCAAAGAGAAAGCAUGACUCUGCCCAGCACCAUCAGGGACUUCACAGGGCAGAGACCUGCUGGGGAAUAGUCCACCCGGCAGUCAGGCACUAUUAUGGUGAGCAAAUGUAUGGUGUGGUUUGGGAGAGAGGGAGGGAGAGAGAGAGAGAGAUAGAGACAGAAGGACGGACGGACAGACUGACAGGCAGAAAGAAUAGUUCAUGUCCUGCGGACAGACCCUGAAGAAGUGAAAGCCCCGAGGACCACGCUGAGCCAUAGCUUCAGGAUCUCCAUGACACAGAGCAACAACAGGAUAUCCCAGAGGAGUCCCAGUGAGGGCCCAGUAUUGAUGGUGUUGCAGAAACCAGGGACCUCUAUCCAGACAAAUGACUCUACAAUGAACACUUGGCUAGAGGUGUGUCCUGAUGAGGAGGAGCAAUUGCUGGCAUCUUAAAUUCUCUUCUUAAAUUCUGCAUCUUCAUCGACCCCAGAUGCUGUCUGGAAGGCCAGUACAAGACUGAUCCAGACCCCUGAACAUGGAUGUUAAUAAGGAGGCCUCUGCACUCCAGGGAGCCUCUGGUAGUGGAUUAGUAUUUUUCCCUGGUGUAAGAAGGGACUUUGAGAGCCCAUCCCACGUGAAGGGAUACACUCUGGCCCUGGACACAUGGGGAAGGGCCCAGGCCCAGCACAGGAAGACUUAGUGGACUUUGUAGAGCUC